rnacentral:sRNA from 1 species
GUUGCAGCAAUGAUUAGCUUGUGUUAGGUUGUGUCUUGAUUAGCUUGUGUCUUGAUUUGCUUGUGUUAGAUUGUGGUGGAUUGCUCUUGUGUCCGCUUUGUUAAUUUGUUGUAA